UCCAGUGCAAUCUAUUGGAGUUUGGGGUGUCAGAGGAAUACAGGAUCAAGCAUUUGCCAUUUUGUAAGGAAAAGCCAUUUAAAUCACAAGUCUAGAAUAUUAAAGUGAUUUUAUCAACUUCUGUUCACAAUUACACAUCAAAUUAUAUGAAGCUAUAUUGGGCCAUAUGGCAGCUAUAUGGGCCAAAUGCUCAAUGGAGCGCCUUCAAUUUCCAGCAGUUGAAGAUCUGGCCCAUGAGUUUUUGCAAAGCACAUGAACACAGUGACAACAGUUAUUUCAAAGUCUUCGGCUCUGGCACAAAGCUCGUUGUUUCAAACAUAAAAGCAAAACUCGAUUCCAGAAAGAUUCAGGUCCUGCCUCCUUCUACUGAACAAGAUGGAAAAGUAUCAUACAUGUGCCUCAUCGAGGAGUUUUACCCAAAUGUUAUUAAGGUGACUUGGGAAGGCCACAAGAAGAAUGCAGAGGAAAAUGCAGUGCAUGAGGAAAUUUGGCCCCCUGAUGACAAUCAACCUUCAUACUCAAUAAGCAGCUGGCUGACCGUAGAUAAAAAUAGCAACAAGAAUUUUCGCUGCAAAUAUCAACAUGAAAGCGAAGAAGGUUCUCUCCCAAUUGAAUCUCCAGACACCUUUUCAGGCACCACUGUAGUGCCUCAAACCAUUGGAGGUUGUAUCAAGAAGGCUGAAAACGGCACCACAAUUUCCACAGAUAUUACAGACAGUUUCAUGCACAGGACGGCGUAUUUAAUAUACAUCGUCCUUCUCCUGAAAAGCACCAUGUACUACGUCAUCGUACUCUUCUUCAUAUACAGGAUGCAAAGUCCAAUCAAGCACCGGGGAAAGAAACCUUAAACUUCUCCUUACAACUUCCAAUGUCAGCAUUUGUGUCCGAUAUUUACUUUGCUUUGCCAUAAGCCUGUUCAUAAGAAACACCUUGCUCUAAAUAUUAAGACAUGCAUUUCAAUUUGAUUUUGUUGGCCAUUUCUCUAAUUAGCACAGAUGGCUUCUUCUGCUUGAGAGCAAACAGUUUUAUAUGUGACCAUAUUUCCAAUUUUAUUAUUUUAAUUUUAUAACUGUGGAACUUCAAGGGCUGAGGCUACACUCCUUCAUUUGAAUGGAAAUUUUGCAUCAUAAAGUCGUGCAGAAUCAGUCUCUUAGGCCCUUAUCCUGCAAAAACACUUGUGCAAACAAAGAACUUUUUCAAUGUGGAUAGGCCAACUGCAUUCAGUGAAGUCAAUGGGAAAACUCAUCCCAUCAAUAUUUGCAGGGUGGAGUCCUAAUUUAGAAGUUAAAAAUAUUUGGCAUUUCUUUCUACGAAUUACACUUAUUUCCUUUAUCAAACAAAAACAGGCUUCUAAAAUAUGACUAAUUUUUUUAACUGAAAGAUUAAUGGAUUUUAAAUAAAAUUCAGCAUUGCA